rnacentral:rRNA from 1 species
UACGUAGGGGGCUAGCGUUGUCCGGAAUUACUGGGCGUAAAGCGCGCGUAGGCGGCUUGGUAAGCGGUGGGUGCAAUUUCAGGGCUCAACCCUGAAACUGCUCGCCGAACUGCCAGGCUAGAGGACGGGAGAGGGCAGUGGAAUUCCCGGUGUAGCGGUGGAAUGCGUAAAUAUCGGGAGGAACACCAGUGGCGAAGGCUGCUGCCUGGAACGUAUCUGACGCUAAGGCGCGAAAGCCAGGGGAGCAAACGGGAUUAGAUACCCGCGUA